GAUGAACGCUAGCUACAGGCUUAACACAUGCAAGUCGAGGGGUAACGAGAGGAAAGCUUGCUUUCCUUGUCGACGACCGGCGCACGGGUGAGUAACGCGUAUCCAACCUGCCCCCAACUAGGGAAUAACCUUGCGAAAGUAAGACUAAUACCCUAUAAUUUCCUCAGAUGCCAUCUGACGAGGAAUAAAGAUUUAUCGGUUGUGGAUGGGGAUGCGUCUGAUUAGCUUGUUGGCGGGGUAACGGCCCACCAAGGCAACGAUCAGUAGGGGUUCUGAGAGGAAGGUCCCCCACAUUGGAACUGAGACACGGUCCAAACUCCUACGGGAGGCAGCAGUGAGGAAUAUUGGUCAAUGGGCGGAAGCCUGAACCAGCCAAGUAGCGUGCAGGAUGACGGCCCUAUGGGUUGUAAACUGCUUUUAUACAGGAAUAAAGUUAGCCACGUGUGGUUAUUUGUAGGUACUGUAUGAAUAAGGACCGGCUAAUUCCGUGCCAGCAGCCGCAGUAA
rnacentral:rRNA from 1 species